UGUAUAAUGGGUCAGCGACUUAUAUUCUGUAGCAAGGUUAACCGAAUAGGGGAGCCGAAGGGAAACCGAGUCUUAACUGGGCGUUAAGUUGCAGGGUAUAGACCCGAAACCCGGUGAUCUAGCCAUGGGCAGGUUGAAGGUUGGGUAACACUAACUGGAGGACCGAACCGACUAAUGUUGAAAAAUUAGCGGAUGACUUGUGGCUGGGGGUGAAAGGCCAAUCAAACCGGGAGAUAGCUGGUUCUCCCCGAAAGCUAUUUAGGUAGCGCCUCGUGAAUUCAUCUCCGGGGGUAGAGCACUGUUUCGGCAAGGGGGUCAUCCCGACUUACCAACCCGAUGCAAACUGCGAAUACCGGAGAAUGUUAUCACGGGAGACACACGGCGGGUGCUAACGUCCGUCGUGAAGAGGGAAACAACCCAGACCGCCAGCUAAGGUCCCAAAGUCAUGGUUAAGUGGGAAACGAUGUGGGAAGGCCCAGACAGCCAGGAUGUUGGCUUAGAAGCAGCCAUCAUUUAAAGAAAGCGUAAUAGCUCACUGGUCGAGUCGGCCUGCGCGGAAGAUGUAACGGGGCUAAACCAUGCACCGAAGCUGCGGCAGCGACACUAUGUGUUGUUGGGUAGGGGAGCGUUCUGUAAGCCUGU
rnacentral:rRNA from 1 species